GAGGUAGGCUACACCAGAUGACCAGAGCUUUUUCUAAUUACCACUGGACCCUGGUCAAAAUCUGGAGUCCAGGGCUGGUGCAGAGCAUGGCGUAACAUAGCUAGCAGCGAAGCCUGGCCAGUCCGCUCAUUGCUGCCAUCUUGAAGUGUUUAGUUGGCAUUGUGGCGACUUGAGCCAGGGAACCACUUGUUACUGCCUCUCUCACAACACCAGUGUUUACCAUGUGUCCAUAAUGAGUACACACACACCUCAGCAACCCCCUGGAGGACAUUGUAGUGAGGGAAGCAGGUGGUUGGACAUGUGCUCACAGUGGCUAACUGUGUUUAGUUACAUAACAGAGGUAUCCUCCAUCUGUAAAGAGACGUGACCAGGGUAACAUUCUUUAGGGAGGUGUCCUCCAUCUGUAAAGAGACUUGACCAGGGUAACAUUCAGUAGGGAGGUAUCUUCCAUCUGUAAAGAGACGUGACCAGGAUAACAUUCAGUAGGGAGGUAUCUUCCAUCUGUAAAGAGACGUGACCAGGGUAACAUUCAGUAGGGAGGUAUCUUCCAUCUGUAAAGAGACGUGACCAGGGUAACAUUCAGUAGGGAGGUAUCUUCCAUCUGUAAAGAGACGUGACCAGGGUAACAUUCAGUAGGGAGGUAUCCUCCAUCUGUAAAGAGAUGCGACCAGGGUAACAUUCAGAGCGGUGUUCCAUCUGUAAAGAGACAUGACCAGGGUAAAAUUCAGUAGGGAGGUAUCUUCCAUCUAUAAAGAGACGUGACCAGGGUAACAUUCAGUAGGGAGGUAUCCUCCAUCUGUAAAGAGACGUGACCAGGGUAACAUUCAGUAGGGAGGUAUCCUCUAUCUGUAAAGAGACGUGACCAGGGUAACAUUCAGAGAGGUGUCCUCCAUCUAUAAAGAGACGUGACCAGGGUAACAUUCAGUAGGGAGGUAUCCUCCAUCUGUAAAGAGACGUGACCAGGGUAACAUUCAGCAGGGAGGUAUCCUCCAUCUGUAAAGAGACGUGACCAGGGUACCAUUCAGUAGAGAGGUAUCCUCCAUCUGUAAAGAGACGUGACCAGGGUAACAUUCAGUAGGGAGGUAUCCUCCAUCUGUAAAGAGACGUGACCAGGGUAACAUUCUUUAGGGAGGUAUCCUCCAUCUGUAAAGAGACGUGACCAGGGUAACAUUCAGUAGGGAGGUAUCCUCCAUCUGUAAAGAGACGUGACCAGGGUAACAUUCAGUAGGGAGGUAUCCUCCAUCUGUAAAGAGACGUGACCAGGGUAACAUUCAGUAGGGAGGUAUCCUCCAUCUGUAAAGAGACGUGACCAGGGUAACAUUCAGUAGGGAGGUAUCUUCCAUCUGUAAAGAGACGUGACCAGGGUAACAUUCAGUAGGGUGGUAACCUCCAUCUGUAAAGAGACGUGACCAGGGUAACAUUCAGUAGGGAGCAACUAUAUCACAAAGUAACACAGACAUAGAUGAUGCUAAUCAAUCCCAGAUAGAUCAGACAUCACUAAUCUAAUCAAUCCCAGAUAGAACAGACAUCACUAAUCUAAUCAAUCCCAAAUAGAUCAGACAUCACUAAUCAAUCCCAGAUCAGACCCUGUAAAGUAGAGACACUGUAAAGUAGUUCCUGUAUUCACAGAGACACUGUAAAGUAGUGCC